rnacentral:siRNA from 1 species
GUUAAUUCCCUGGUGGCCAGGA